ensembl:lncRNA
GAGCAUUUAAUCUAUCGUUUUAUCCUCAUGAAUAUAUCUACUAUCUAGAGAUAAAACAGCUUGCUGAAAGCCUGUCUUUUUACAGACACCGGAGAAGCUCUCAGAGACCGAAGGCUGUUUGCAACAACACUAAUUUGCUCCUGGUUAUGGGUCACGUGGCCGUUUAAGCAGCUUUCUCUCCUGAAGCACAGGUGAGCUGCGGCUGCCUUUGAUCUCGCCACUCUGUUUGUGUUAGCAGGGUGGAACCAUGGUCCUCUUUGGUCACAGAUGUUCAUGGGAACUGAAAGAAUUUAAGAACACCGUUGACAAAAGAAGAACGUAUUGAAAUCAUUCUCAUGGCUGGACUGGGAAGCUGUCGCAAGAUUGAGGUGGACUUUAACAGGAAACAUGACAAGCACGUCACAUACGACACCGUUGCCAAACUUAUCACCAACAUCAAAAAUACUGGAGGUGUUGCGGACCUACCGAGAAGUGGACGUCCACGAACAUCCACUGACGAAGGCAAAACCGACGUGGUGCUGGAAUACAUGGUCCUCUAUGAAUGGAGUCUUUUGGGACACCCUGUACAUUUGAUUUGCUUCAUGAUGCAAUAAAAGGCUUUAGAAACAAAACAUCUCAUCAUGAAGGCAUCAAUAAAAGAGCUUGCAUUUGACCAUUGGGUCAAUACUUAAUAUUUAACUUAGAGAAGAACUGUCUGACAUUUCUUGUUUUAUUCAAGUGCUCUUAAUAAUAAAGCAUCUUCGGAUAAGAAUAGAUACCAAAUCAUUGAUGAAAAAUCCAUAUGAAAGAUUUGAGGUUCUAUAAGAAAUAGAAAUCUCAGUCAAUAUGUAUCUUUAAAGUUGUUCCGUUGUGCUUUAGAUAGUGUGGUAUUUCGUAGUACAACUCACACUCCAUGGUUUGAUGUAUUAUAAGCUCUCUCAUGCCCCUACAUCACAUUUGUAUAUCUUUCACCUCUGUGCCAUCAGCCUGAUAGGGAGCAAAUAGCAGUUGAAACCUCAUCUGCAUUGUUGUUAGUACGGAUCAUCCCCGACAUCCAGAAUGCAAGGGCUUCAUCAGGAAGCCGUUCUGUUGUAUCAGAUGUAUCUGAAAAGCCGAACGUGGGAGAGGAGCAAGAGAGGGCACGCGCUGUAUGCAGAAUGGCGUGAGCGAUCUACAUUUCAAAUGCAGAGGAUGUUUUCCGCUGGAUGUUUCUUUGAAAACAUGGCUACAGGGAGCAAGCGAAAUGUAAGCGGAUAUGGCAUCAAAGAGCCUGGAGGAGAAAACAAAACAACAGCACACAGGAAGAGAGGAGCAGAGGAUAAGUCCUUCACAUACUCCUCAUUACUGGAUGUGGAGAGCUACACAACAGAGGAAUGGAAAAAAAAUAAAUAAUGAAAUAAAAUAAAAACAUUCAGGGUUUGAGUAGAGGUAGGAAGAGGAGAGGAGAGGAGAGAGUUUGGACCUGAUCACAUGGAAAGGUUGUACACAUUUCCAGAGUGAUGUGGUUGGAUUUGAUUUGAUUUGAUUUCAUACAAAUGAUGUUGUCUCUAGAGGUAUGAACACUAAUCCUGCCCACUGACCUUUGUACUUACUUAUUUCACAUGGAUCAUGUAAAUUGCAAGCUUGAGAUCACGUUGAGAAAUAAUGUUUUAUAAAUGAUGUAUAAGAAAUGAAUUGAAAAGUAGUACAGAUAAGAGAUAAUGUUUGAAUAUUUCCUCAGACACUGGAUCAGUUCAGCAUUAUAAGGAAAAUACAUGAUGAAGUCAUAUGACACUUCUGCAAAAUUACAUUAAAAGCUACAUACAAUACCAAAUCACUAUACAGACACAAGCAAAUAAAUAUCAUUAAUGUAUGAUGCUAUAUGAUUAUUGAAUUAUUAUUCAAUAUCAUUAUUGAUUAUUGAAUUAUUGAUUAUUGAAUGACAUUCUGCUCUCAGAUAAAAAAAAAAAACAUUUAAAAUGACAAUAUUUGUUGAAAAUAUGUUUUAAUCUCACUGUUGCAAUCAGACAAAGUAUUUUGACUCAUUUUCUCACACCAAUUACAGGCUAUGCUGACAGAUCAGGGAUGCAAAGAGUGUGUCUGUGUGUGUGUGUGUGUGUGUGUGUGUGUGUGUGUGUGUGUGUGCACGUGUGAUUGCUAUACUCACAGCUUUUAAACUGUCCUCUGUGUCCAUAAUAUUGAAUACACUGUGGACAAAUAAAGCCUUGAUGAUAGAAUAUAAUACUGAAUUAUUUGAAAACGUCACAUGACCCCUAAAAUGUAAAUCAAGACAAUGUUGAAACUAAACAUGUGAAUGUUUUGAGUGUAAGUGAUGGCAGUAGCAACUUGUCCAACCAGGUGGUGCUCUUUCUUUCUUUUUCUUUUCUUUCUUUCUUUCUUUCUUUCUUUCUUUCUAAAUUUGUGUCCUUCCUUGAUACAAAACUUUCUUCUAUCUACCUAUCUAAAGAAUUAUUGUCUUGUUACAUGAUGUAAUUAAUACACAUUUCGUUCUUUCUUUCUUCUAUCUAUAAAAAUAGUUAAAAUUCCCAAUCAUUCCUCUUGUCUUGGACUCAGCUGAUAGCAUUUCUGAGAGAGAGAGAGAGAGAGAGAGAGAGAGAGAGAGAGAGAGAGAGAGAGAGAGAGAGAGAGCCCUAGUGAAAAUAUGGUCCUGUGGUACAACUGUAAAUAUUUUUCAGGGUGAAGGAGAUGAAAAAUCAUUUAAAAAAUCGAUGCCUGCUUCCUAUAGCCCAUCUCAAACAAAUCAAUCAUAAUCUUAACCAGCUGGCAGGCGAAAGGGGAGGCAUGCAAUCUUUGUCUGAAAUCUCUAAUUUCUGAAUCCAUUCUCAUAACAGGACCAUCAUCUGACCAUUUAACUCGGCUAACGGUGUGCCUCCCUCCUGAGGCCCUGGGGAAAUGCAGUGAGGGCAUGAGGAUCCUGAGUCAGAGGACUACUUCUGACUACCCCUGUCUAACCCUGCCUACCCCUAUCUACCCUGUAUAACCCUGCCUACCCCUGUCUACCCUGUUUAUCCCUGCCUACGCCUGUCUACCCUGUAUAACCCUGCUUACCCCUGUCUUCCUCUGCCUACCCCUGUCUACCCCUGCCUAGCCCUAUUUACCUCUGCCUACCCUGUCUACCUCUGUCUACCCCUGUCUAUGCCUGUAUACCCCUGUCUA